AUCGCCGAUCCAGCGGCGCUACGAGCAGCAGUAGGACGCAGGACACGAACCCUUGUUUCCUUCUCCAAUCCCUGAUUCUCCCCAUCGUCCUUCCCUUUCUCCUGGAUCCUUCCUUCGCUCCGCCAAUUCCAGAAAUUGUUGUCAGGAAGGCAAAUGAUUGCUCAUGUGGUCAACCGGGAGGAUCAGUAGCGAGAAGUGGAGAUGAUCACCCGAGCGAAGCUGGUGGAACAGCUGAGGGAGCAACAGAUCCGGUCGGCGCAGACCUACUCCGCGGCCCUCGCCGUCUUUUCGCCCAACCCCCACAUCUCCUCCAGGCGGGAUCUAAAGGUUGCUCUCCUAUAUGCUUUCUUGUUCUGUUUUCUCAUGGUGUCGUGCUAUAUGGCCCUUUACCUGAAAUGGUUCAGACUUUCAUCCCUCUUUGUACUUUUCGGUAUCCUUCUGCAAGUAAGUCUCAAAAUCUCUAGGCAUAGAAGGCUGAAAAGGAAAAGGGAAAGAAAGUUGUUGUUACCCUUGUCCAUGUGAAUAUCUUUCUGAUAUCGUGUAACAUUUAAGUAAAAUGGAUGAACCACAAAGAGGAAAAAUCUUGGUUGGAUCGGCUUACACCCUCAAAAAUGUAUAUUUUGCUUUUAUGCAUUCACAUACAUAUGCACCA